rnacentral:rRNA from 1 species
CGUGUAGGCGGGAAGGAAAGUCAGAUGUGAAAUCCCCAGGCUCAACCUGGGAACUGCAUUUGAAACUCCCUUUCUUGAGUAUCGGAGAGGAAAGCGGAAUUCCUGGUGUAGAGGUGAAAUUCGUAGAUAUCAGGAGGAACACCAGCGGCGAAGGCGGCUUUCUGGACGAUAACUGACGCUGAGACGCGAAAGCGUGGGGAAGCAAACA